rnacentral:rRNA from 1 species
GAAACCCUGAUGCAGACAACGACCGCGUGAGGUAUGAAGGCUCGUGGGUGUGUAAGCCUCUGUCCUAGGGGAAGAAAAAAAUGACGGUACCCGAGGAGGAAGCCCCGGCUAACUACGUGCCAGCAGCCGCGGUAAUACGUAGGGGGCAAGCGUUAUCCGGAAUUAUUGGGCGUUAAAGAGUGCGUAGGUGGUCUACUAAGCGCGAGGUGAAAGGCAAUGGCUCAACCAUUGUUAGCCUUGUGAACUGGCAGACUUGAGUGCAAGAGAGGAAAGCGGAAUUCCUAGUGUAGCGGUGAAAUGCGCAGAUAUUAGGAGGAACACCGGCGGCGAAGGCGGCUUUCUGGAUUGUAACUGACACUGAGGCACGAAAGCGUGGGUAGCAAACAGGAUUAGAUACCCUGGUAGUCCACGCCGUAAACGAUGAGCACUAGGUGUCGGGACAUGAGUCUCGGUGCCGCAGUUAACGCAAUAAGUGCUCCGCCUGGGGAGUACGCACGCCAGUGUAAAACUCAAAGGAAUUGACGGGGGACCGCACAAGCAGCGGAGCAUGUGGUUUAAUUCGAAGCACGCGA